rnacentral:rRNA from 1 species
CUCCUACGGGAGGCAGCAGUGAGGAAUAUUGGUCAAUGGACGAGAGUCUGAACCAGCCAAGUAGCGUGAAGGAUGAAGGUUCUAUGGAUUGUAAACUUCUUUUAUACGGGAAUAAACGGAUCCACGUGUGGAUUUUUGCAUGUACCGUAUGAAUAAGGAUCGGCUAACUCCGUGCCAGCAGCCGCGGUAAUACGGAGGAUCCGAGCGUUAUCCGGAUUUAUUGGGUUUAAAGGGAGCGUAGAUGGGUUGUUAAGUCAGUUGUGAAAGUUUGCGGCUCAACCGUAAAAUUGCAAUUGAUACUGGCAGUCUUGAGUACAGUUGAGGUAGGCGGAAUUCGUGGUGUAGCGGUGAAAUGCUUAGAUAUCACGAAGAACUCCGAUUGCGAAGGCAGCUUACUAACCUGUAACUGACAUUGAUGCUCGAAAGUGUGGGUAUCAAACAGGAUUAGAUACCCUGGUAGUCCACACGGUAAACGAUGAAUACUCGCUGUAGGCGAUAUACAGUCUGCGGCCAAGCGAAAGCAUUAAGUAUUCCACCUGGGGAGUACGCCGGCAACGGUGAAACUCAAAGGAAUUGACGGGGGCCCGCACAAGCGGAGGAACAUGUGGUUUAAUUCGAUGAUACGCGAGGAACCUUACCCGGGCUUAAAUUGCAACCGAAUAUGGCGGAAACGCUAUAGCUAGCAAUAGCGGUUGUGAAGGUGCUGCAUGGUUGUCGUCAGCUCGUGCCGUGAGGUGUCGGCUUAAGUGCCAUAACGAGCGCAACCCUUGCCGAUAGUUACUAACAGGUUAUGCUGAGGACUCUGUCGGGACUGCCAUCGUAAGAUGUGAGGAAGGUGGGGAUGACGUCAAAUCAGCACGGCCCUUACGUCCGGGGCUACACACGUGUUACAAUGGGGGGUACAGAGGGCUGCUACCACGCAAGUGGAUGCCAAUCCCAAAAACCUCUCUCAGUUCGGAUUGAAGUCUGCAACCCGACUUCAUGAAGCUGGAUUCGCUAGUAAUCGCGCAUCAGCCACGGCGCGGUGAAUACGUUCCCGGGCCUUGUACACACCGC